GAUGAACGCUGGCGGCGUGCCUAAUACAUGCAAGUCGAGCGAACGGACGAGGAGCUUGCUUCUCUGAUGUUAGCGGCGGACGGGUGAGUAACACGUGGAUAACCUACCUAUAAGACUGGGAUAACUUCGGGAAACCGGAGCUAAUACCGGAUGAUAUUUUGAACCGCAUGGUUCAAAAGUGAAAGACGGUCUUGCUGUCACUUAUAGAUGGAUCCGCGCUGCAUUAGCUAGUUGGUAAGGUAACGGCUUACCAAGGCAACGAUGCAUAGCCGACCUGAGGGGGUGAUCGCCCACACUGGAACUGGGACACGGUCCAGACUCCUACGGGAGGCAGCAGUAGGGAAUCUUCCGCAAUGGGCGGAAGCCUGACGGAGCAACGCCGCGUGAGUGAUGAAGGUCUUCGGAUCGUAAAACUCUGUUAUUAGGGAAGAACAUAUGUGUAAGUAACUGUGCACAUCUUGACGGUACCUAAUCAGAAAGCCACGGCUAACUACGUG
rnacentral:rRNA from 1 species